rnacentral:pre_miRNA from 1 species
UAUAUCCUUAUAAAUCUAGCCUCUACUAGGCUUUGUCUGUGCAUUUGGAUUCAGACAUAGCCUAUGAGAGGUUAGGUGUACCAAGGAGAA